UACGUAGGUGGCAAGCGUUAUCCGGAAUUAUUGGGCGUAAAGAGCGCGCAGGUGGUUAAUUAAGUCUGAUGUGAAAGCCUACGGCUUAACCGUGGAGGGUCAUUGGAAACUGGUUGACUUGAGUGCAGAAGAGGGAAGUGGAAUUCCAUGUGUAGCGGUGAAAUGCGUAGAGAUAUGGAGGAACACCAGUGGCGAAGGCGGCUUGCUGGGCUUUUACUGACGCUGAGGCUCGAAAGUGUGGGGAGCAAACAGG
rnacentral:rRNA from 1 species